rnacentral:rRNA from 1 species
AUUGAACGCUAGCGGCAUGCCUUACACAUGCAAGUCGAACGGAGUGGCGAACGGGUGCGUAAUGUAUCGGAACGUGCCCAGUAGCGGGGGAUAACUACGCGAAAGCGUAGCUAUAACCGCAUCCUAUUGGCGCGGCCGAUACCGGAUUAGCUAGUUGGGGGGGUAACGGCUAACCAAGGCGACGACCCUUAGCUGGUUUGAGAGGACGACCAGCCACACUGGAACUGAGACACGGCCCAGACUCCUACGGGAGGCAGCAGUGGGGAAUUUUGGACAAUGGGGGAAAGCCUGAUCCAGCCAUGCCGCGUGUGCGAUGAAGGCCUUCGGGUUGUAAAGCACUGUUGGCAGGGAAGCGGUACCUGCAGAAUAAGCACCGGCUAACUACGUGCCAGCAGCCGCGGUAAUUC